UGUGUGUUUGCAGUCUGUGCCGUAGCUAACGCAUUAAGCGCCCCGCCUGGGGAGUACGGCCGCAAGGCUAAAACUCAAAGGAAUUGACGGGGGCCCGCACAAGCGGCGGAGCAUGUGGAUUAAUUCGAUGCAACGCGAAGAACCUUACCUGGGUUUGACAUGCACCAGAUCGGCGUAGAGAUACGUUUUCCCUUGUGGUUGGUGCACAGGUGGUGCAUGGUUGUCGUCAGCUCGUGUCGUGAGAUGUUGGGUUAAGUCCCGCAACGAGCGCAACCCUUGUCUUAUGUUGCCAGCACAUUUUUGGUGGGGACUCAUGAGAAACUGCCGGGGUCAACUCGGAGGAAGGUGGGGAUGACGUCAAAUCAUCAUGCCCUUUAUACCCAGGGCUUCACACAUGCUACAAUGGUCGGUACAACGGGUUGCGACACUGUGAAGUGAAGCUAAUCUCUUAAAGCCGGCCUCAGUUCGGAUUGGGGUCUGCAACUCGACCCCAUGAAGUCGGAGUCGCUAGUAAUCGCAGAUCAGCAACGCUGCGGUGAAUACGUUCCCGGGCCUUGUACACACCGCCCGUCACGUCAUGAAAGUUGGUAACACCCGAAGCCCA
rnacentral:rRNA from 1 species